rnacentral:rRNA from 1 species
UACGGAGGGAGCUAGCGUUGCUCGGAAUUACUGGGCGUAAAGCGCACGUAGGCGGCUUUGUAAGUUAGAGGUGAAAGCCCGGGGCUCAACUCCGGAACUGCCUUUAAGACUGCAUCGCUUGAAUCCAGGAGAGGUGAGUGGAAUUCCGAGUGUAGAGGUGAAAUUCGUAGAUAUUCGGAAGAACACCAGUGGCGAAGGCGGCUCACUGGACUGGUAUUGACGCUGAGGUGCGAAAGCGUGGGGAGCAAACAGG